rnacentral:rRNA from 3 species
GCAUAUCAAUAAGCGGAGGAAAAGAAACUAACAAGGAUUCCCCUAGUAGCGGCGAGCGAAGCGGGAAGAGCUCAAAUUUAUAAUCUGGCACCUUCGGUGUCCGAGUUGUAAUCUCUAGAAGUGUUUUCCGCGUUGGACCGCACACAAGUCUGUUGGAAUACAGCGGCAUAGUGGUGAAACCCCCGUAUAUGGUGCGGACGCCCAGCGCUUUGUGAUACACUUUCAAUGAGUCGAGUUGUUUGGGAAUGCAGCUCAAAUUGGGUGGUAAAUUCCAUCUAAAGCUAAAUAUUGGCGAGAGACCGAUAGCGAACAAGUACCGUGAGGGAAAGAUGAAAAGCACUUUGGAAAGAGAGUUAACAGUACGUGAAAUUGUUGGAAGGGAAACGCUUGAAGUCAGACUUGCUUGCCGGAGCUUGCUUCGGUUUGCAGGCCAGCAUCAGUUUUCCGGGGUGGAUAAUGACGGUUUGAAGGUAGCAGUCUCGGCUGUGUUAUAGCUUUCCGUUGGAUACAUCCUGGGGGACUGAGGAACGCAGCGUGCUUUUUGCGAAAGACUCGUCUUUUUCACGCUUAGGAUGCUGGUGGAAUGGCUUUAAACGACCCGUCUUGAAACACGGACC